CAACCCUAUCCUCUCCAGACGAGAUCUGAAGCCGCCGGGCAGCAGGGCUCCCCCAAGUACCAGGAGAAGAUAUGUUUGCAGCCUGUGCUCAUCUAUUAAAGCUUGAUACCAGCUUUCAUAGAUCCGGAUGGUUUUGAAGUGAUAGCUGGCUUGACUUUGCUUUUCUUCAAAGCAUCUUGACAGACCAAAAUCCGUAAUUUUUGGCACCAUGUUUUCGUCUAGCAAUAUAUUUGCAGGUUUUAGGUCUAAGUGAAAAGUAUCGAUCUCUGUGAAUAUAUUGUAAACCUUCACAAAUUCCCUUGAUUAUUUCAUAGCGCUAUUUUAAAAUAAAUGAUUUGUAUUGGAAAAACCAAGUUGUCCAAUAUACAUAUUCAUGACUUGAAAAAGUAAAAAAAUACAGUCAUUGUAUAUUGUGUUUGACUUAGAAAGAAAGAUGAAAAAGUUAAACAAAAAGAUGUGAAGGCAGAUGAAUGCUUUGCUUAUGCAUGAAUUCAUAUUGAUAAAGCGCUAUUGAAUGAUCAAGGAAUUUGUGAGGUUUACAUUAUCUUUGCAAGAGUUGUAUUGUUCAGUUAGACCUAGACAUGCAAGUAUAUUUCUAGGCGAAAAUAUAUUGUUAAAAAUUGCGGAUUUUUGUCUCUCAAGUUGCUUGGAGGAAAAACAAAGCCAGGCUAUCGCUUCAAAACAGUUUGGAUCUAUGUAUGAAAGAAGGGACAUUGAUGAACUGGGUUGGAUUUACUUUGACUUGCAAACUUGUUUGCAUGUUAACAUCAGGUAUGAUAGUAGAAACACAUAGCAUGCACAUCAGUCAAUAGGCUUGGCAAAACGGCUCACUUAUGCUCCAUGACAUGCUCCACUAACCUCUUUUUUUUAGCUAGUGUACAUCUUUAGGUACUUUGAGCUGGUGGAGGAGGUCAAGUGUCAUCAGUUGUCCAAGAGAAAUGUUCCAAUGAGCUACUAAAUAUUUGGAGGAAGCCUUUAUAGUUUCUUGCACAAAGAGUGUAAUGUGUUGGACCUCAUCAUGUAUUAAGUAUUAUUUUGGAGGAUAUACUAUGCUCUCUGUUUUGUUAUAUCGUGCAUGCACAUUAUAAAGUAGAGUGUGGCGCAAUAUAUAGAUCAUAAUUGUUGUUAAGGUGCUGAAUUCCAUUUAGCUUAGUAGUGGAUGCUAUGAUAGCUGAGACUGGGAUUUAUGCUGGGUCUGACCAUCUGAAUUCAGUUGUUUGUAAAAUGUUCCAUACUCGCAAUAUUAUAUACUCAUGACA